rnacentral:misc_RNA from 1 species
AAGUCGUAACAAGGUUUCCGUAGGACGUCAGUCCUCGGGCAUUGUAUCCUUCUGUGGAUUUGCUUGCUGAAACCUUAGCGAAACCACCUCCCGGUGGUGAUCUGACUUAAAAUAAAACGCUGGUCUACCUCUGUGUAGACGACAUCACUCUAUUGCAGGAACGUUCCUUAAAACGUGAUUUACCUGCAGCCGCUCCAACAGGCCGUUCAGGCACUAUUGGGUGGUCCACAGACUAAGUUGUGAUGGGCGUGGAAAGUCAACUUUCUGCGUCUCA